rnacentral:rRNA from 1 species
AUUGAACGCUGGCGGCAGGCCUAACACAUGCAAGUCGAACGAGUGGCGGACGGGUGAGUAAUGUCUGGGAAACUGCCUGCUGGAGGGGGAUAACUACUGGAAACGGUCGCUAAUACCGCAUACCAUCGGAUGUGCCCAGAGGGGCUUAGCUAGUAGGUGGGGUAAAGGCUCACCUGGGCGACGAUCCCUAGCUGGUCUGAGAGGAUGACCAGCCACACUGGAACUGAGACAAGGUCCAGACUCCUACGGGAGGCAGCAGGGGGGAAUAUUGCACGAUGGGCGCAAGCCUGAAGCAGCCAUGCCGCGUGGAUGAAGAAGGCCUUCAGGUUGUAGAGUACUAUCAGCGGGGAGGCGUUACCCGCAGAAGAAGCACCGGCUAACUCCGUGCCAGCAGCCGCGGUAAUAC